GAUGAAGAACGUAGCGAAAUGCGAUACGUAAUGUGAAUUGCAGAAUUCAGUGAAUCAUCGAGUCUUUGAACGCACAUUGCGCCCCCUGGUAUUCCGGGGGGCAUGCCUGUCCGAGCGUCAUUGCUGCCCUCAAGCACGGCUUGUGUGUUGGGCCUCCGUCCUCCUCCCGGGGGACGGGCCCGAAAGGCAGCGGCGGCACCGCGUCCGGUCCUCGAGCGUAUGGGGCUUCGUCACCCGCUCUUGUAGGCCCGGCCGGCGCUUGCCGACACAUCAAUCUUUUUUCCAGGUUGACCUCGGAUCAGGUAGGGAUACCCGCUGAACUUAAGCAUAUCAAUAAGUGGAGGA
rnacentral:misc_RNA from 1 species